AAGUUUUAUUCACCAUACACCACAGUAGGAAAACUAGUGAGCAGUCACUGAAAUCAAUAGAAGGAAAGUUUAAACUAGAUAAUAGAAAGCACCCUUUUACUUGGUGGGUAGAGUAGUUCUGGAAUUUCUUGCAAAAGGAGGUUAUGGAGACAAUAUCAGCAGGAUCAUAAAUUAAUUAAGGAAAGCCAUGGAAAUCAGGUUUAGAGACAAACUGUAAAAGCAAAGGCAGGGACAUGCUCUCUAACAUCACUAACACAGAGAUUUUGGAUGUUGGAAGUCUCUAAGGGAAGGGACUGCAGCUGAUCAUCACUGCUCUCCCAAAAUAGCACCUAUGAUUGCCUCUGUUAGAGAAGAGUAUAAGUCUGGGUGUGCUAAUGGUCUGACCCUGUAUGGGAUUUCUUCUGUCCUUACAUUUUGUAAGUUUACCCUAGUUUGAAGUGAAUAUUUAUUUCAAAAAAAUAUUCUUGAUCUUUUAAGAUUUGUUCCCCUUCAUUCCAAUUACCACUUCAAAUGCUCACUAUUAGAACCUGAGCCAAGGGUAGAGAUUACUUCUACAUAAAUAGAAUCAAAGAGAACUGAAAUUUAUCUGAAAAUCAGUAGAAUGGAAUGGGAGGGAAGGAAAAAAGCAACACCUCCUUUCCUACCUAUUUUGGGAACAGUAGUCAUGCUUUGCUGUUAUUUGAUCAUGCUGUAAAUAUCUGUGCUAUUUUACACAAUGUUCUCAAUAGACUUAGUAAAAUGGCCUACACAGCUAGAGUAUCUUUACUCAUUAACUGUCCUCACCUCCUGCCAACAGGUCUCCUUCUAACCUCUACUUUUUAUUGUGGGGAAUCACAUUAUAAGAGCCACUUCUUUGUGACUGAUCAGUGCAGAUAGGUUUUAGCAAUUCAUUGUUCAGUCGCUUCUACAGCAGGAAUAAUAACAAUGCAAAGACCUAGAAAUGCAAGAAGGCCCACCAUCAGCCACCUGAGGUAUAUCUUGAGCAAGGAUCAAAAGUAUUUCAAAACUGAUCAGUCAGUUUAAAAGGUCAAGAGAUUUUUUACUGAAAGCAAAUAUGCUGGUUCAUAUAAUGUGCCAUUGGGGUUUUUGAAUUCAGUCAGGUUGGGUCUUUAAGCUUCUUUUCUACAAUCCUGUAGCAUUACACACUUCCUUCUUAAGGCAAAUGAAGAUUUUCAUUGUUCCAGGAAGUGGACCUGGACAAAAGAACAUGACAAAUAUCUUAGAAUAUGGCAACAAAGGGAGCUGCUAUAUGACACCUUAAAAGAGUAAGAGUUGUAUCAUAAAUGCCUGCUGUCAGCCAUCCAGAGAGGAACUCCGAGUUUUUAAAUAUGAUUAGCUCUGCUAAUAACCCAUCCAUGGGUCUGCAGGACAGCAGGAGGAACAGAGGAUGUAUAGCCUGCAUACUUAGUUAGCCUCUCUCAGGACAUAAAUAUGCUAAUACUUUUCUCCUUGCUUUAAUGUAAACCUGUGCAGACUCAUUUGCAGCCUGCACAUAUUUACAUAUGCAAACCUUUGCACUGUGAGCUGAAUUUUUGGUUUGUUUACAUGCACACAUAUGCACAGAUCCCAUGUUUUAUAUUGCCUUUGUGGACAGUUUUCUUAAAUCUCAUGAAGCAUCAGGAUUCAUGCCAUAAGAGAAAAUAGCAGGAAAUAAGUUUUGAAGUAGGGCAGACUGGUAUGACCUUCAGCUGUACUGGUACACUUACCACUUUUCACAAAUAUAUUAGCAAAUGAAAUGUUGCAAUUUUGCUUUCAUUUCACUGGUUUCAUAGGGAUGACAAUGAAGUAACUCAUGAUUUAUAACCAAGAAGUUAACUGUGACUUUUACAUUUUUGUCUAUCUGUAG